rnacentral:ncRNA from 1 species
UAUAAACCGUUGAAGGGGAAGUAAAACCGCAUGACCAACCUCACAGAGAGUCGAGUAAGGUGGAAGCUCGGCAGGUAAUGGAGCGGGUAAAUGGGCCCCAGAGGGUGGAACGAAAAAGCUCAGGCUUUAGUAGUUACCAACGCAGAGCCAGCGUUAUCGGGCUAAGAGUGUGUUGGCACUCUGUAUGAGGGGAUGCAUUAUUAUUUAUGCAUUAACUAAGGUGGUACCGCAGAUUAACGUCUGUCCUUAUU